rnacentral:lncRNA from 1 species
UCACAACGUAUAAAACAUAAUCAGUACUUUACGUGAGUAGUAGUUUUAAAAAAAUUGCAUUACAACAAUCAAAGAAUCGUUUACAUUCAUAACCCACGUCUAUAUAUAUUAUUUGUAGGCUUUAACCUAGCAACAUACACUCUCAAAUCAUCAUAAACCACCCUCUCUCGUAUCAACUAUAUAUGGAUUCUCUAGAAAUUGAAAAUAUUGCUUAUCUUACCGUUUGUCUUCUAAGAUAUGAUUCAAAUUUAUGGUGGUGAGGAAUGGGUACACCGGAUGAUAAGGUAGUGGAUACAACCUUAUCGAUCAUACCCCCAUCAUGAUGGCAGAACCAACUGUAGAAGAACAAGAUAUGGACAACGAUGAUGGGAACAUAUACGAAUAAAGGAGACAACAUAAGAAGCCUCAACCAAAGUGGAAUCCAAGGUUUGAUGCUGAACCACAUCAUGGAUUCUCUUUUUAAGAAAUUCCUCCAUCAAAAUAGUGGGUACAACCACAUAGUGGGUACAACCACAUAGUGGGUACAACUCACUAUCCUAAAUACCUCCUUCAUAUAGUAGUUUGUAUAUACUUAUGAUCCUAAAUAUCUCCAUACUUCUGAUCCUAAAUACCUCAUUCGUGGUUGUAUCCACUAUGUACCCAUUAACUUGUUCUAGCCUCCCAGCUUGAACAACAACUUGUCCUGACAACUAAGACAGAACAGAUGAUUCCUCUCCGACUCAACGAGGGUAUGAAUCACCAGUGGAGAGCCCAUGAUUACACCCACCUUCACUAUGGAGCGAUACGCCUAGCUUUAACCCUCCAUGGAAGAAAAGGUCUACAUGUUGUAGCAAGAGUCGCUCUUCUCGACACCAGAUACAGAGAAUAUCAGCACGCUUGCAUCGCAACAAUCCAGACCACCCUAAACGCUGGUACUGUCUUUGUCACACUAUUCCCAAACUUCAACGUGGCGCUUGAAGAUCCCCAUGUCUACCAGAAUAUGCAGAUCCAGCUUCAAAUCACAGGUGCUCCGCAAAUCGGAAAUACUUAUGCGGCAACACUCCAUCAUCAGAUGGCGUACCGAGACCAAAACUAUGCUAUGGAUCUUAGCCUUCCUAGAGAUACAGAGGAUGCUCUGCUCAUUCAGCUGGAAUCACAGCACAGCCCUUCAUGCAUCCAUAUUCCAAGACAAAUCCCUAAAGAAGAACUGGUCAAGUUACUUCCUGAAUCAUGAGUGACGACUAUGAGAAACUCCAUGAUAAAAGUAUUCCAAUACAAUCGGUGGACUCUUCUAUCACAGAUGAAAAGACGGAAAAGUUGAGAUUGCCUUUCAGCAACAGGAAGUAAAGCCAAGUCCGACAGCUUUCUGCACAGAAAUCAAUACUAUCUCUCCGACGGAAGAUAAUUGUGAUGAGAAAUUAUAUAGUUUCUUGUAUAGCAGGAAUAGUAUUGAUUUCUCAUCACAAUUAUCUUUUGUCGGAGAGAUAGUAUUGAUUUAUGUGUAGAAAACUGUCGGUCUUGGCCUUUCUUCUUGUUGCUUAAAGGCAAUCUCUACUUUUCCGUCUUUUCUUCUGUGAAUAGAAGAGUCCACCGAUUGUAUUGGAAUACUUCUAUCAUGGAGUUUCUCAUAGUCGUCACCCAUGAUUCAGGAAGUAACUUGACCAGUUCUUCUCUAGGGAUUUGUCUUGGAAUAUGGAUGCAUGAAGGGCUGUACUGUGAUUCCAGCUGAAUGAGCAGAGCAUCCUCUGUAUCACUAGGAAGGCUAAGAUCCAUAGAAUGGUUUUGGACUCGGUACGCCAUCUGAUGAUGGAGUGUUGCCGCAUAAGUAUUUCUGACUUGCGGAGCACCUGUGAUUUGAAGCUGGAUCUGCAUAUUCUGGUAGAUCUGGGGAUCUUCAAGCACCACGUUGAAGUUUGGGAAUAGUGUGACAAAGAUAGUACUAGCGUUCAGGGUGGUCUGGAUUGUUGCGAUGUAAGUGUGCUGAUAUUCUCUGUAUCUGGUGUCGAGAAGAGCGACUCUUACUACAAUAGGUAGACCUUUUCUUCCAUAGAGGGUUAAAGCUACGCGUAUCGCUCCAUAGUGAAGGUGGGUGUAACCAUAGGCUCUCCACUGGUGAAUCAUACCCUCGUUGAGUCGGAGAGGAAUCAUCUGUUCUGUCUCAGUUGUCGGGACAAGAUGUUGUUCAAGCUGGGAGGCUAGAACAAGUUCUCUCGCCGCAUGCUUGUGUGGACCGAAAACAUAUUUUAUUACUUUUGGGAAAGUAGAGUUGGAUUUUGUGAAAGCUUUAUAUGGAUUUAGUAAAGAAAGUUGGGUAAUAGGAACUUUACUCUCAUCACUUACAUAUUCUACUUCAUAUAGAUUGUCUAUUUUACUAGCGUUUGAUUUUCUGAAAGAAGACGAUUUUAUUAAAGAAGAUGAACUUUCCAUAGUGUAUGUAGAGGCCAGAAACCAUAACAGAAUGCUUUUAUCUUACCUUACCCUUGAAGUAAUAACAAACCUUGAGUUGUUUUUCUUAUUUCAACAAUUGCUAAACUCUUUCUCACUGCUUAGCUUGGUUCUAAC